GGAUAAUGAUUAACACUGAAGUGGAUACCGGUGACACAAUAUGCGCAUGCGUUCUAUUACUUUCGAUCGUUUAGCAAAAUUUGAAUUGAAGAUUGUUGUCUUGGACUUUAUAACUGAAUUGAAUAAGCUAAGGAAAUAAUAAUAAAAAAUUAUGGUAUAAUUUAAUUUUUCAAUAAAAUUACAUAUGAUUCUUAUUUAUCAAUUAUAAUGCUAAUUGCGUUAAUGCAAUAUUUUUGCAUCAAUUGUCAUAAUACGACAAAGGUGUACGCAUUAGAUGCCUAUACAGGACAAUGGGAAAUCGAUAUGGCUUGGAUAUGGUACGUGUCACUCGUACGUCUGAAAGCGUUUAUUCACGUAGUCAAUGCGUGAUUGAGUGAUGAGUGCAGCACGUCGAAUUCUGAAGAAUUGCAUUCGGCAGAAUUGGAAGCGGAGAUCAGGCAUUACGCCAGCAUUGCGAAAUGUCGGGAAUGGGGAUCUCAUGAUCUUGACUAGGAACAACGACCUGCCAGCCCCAUUCGUAUCUCUACGGUGAAUGAGAGAGAGA